UCUCUCUCCCCUCUGUGUCUGUCUGUCUCUCUUUCUUUUCUUAUUCCUUGUUAAAGUCAUACUGUAUUUGCCUGCCUUCAUUGGCAGGGGGCAAGUGAGCUGGAGGACAGGACGGGAGGGGAGGAGGGGGGAGACUUUGGGUUCAGAGAGUUCAGCUGAGGAGAGAAAUAAAUGCAUAAACAACAAAGGAGACGUGACGUCAGGUUGAGGGGCUGUCCAACCUGCUGGCUGAAUCUGAGCCUCCAUGGAAGAACCGGAUUGUUCGUACCACGUGUGUGUGUGCGCGUGUGUGCAUGUGUACAGUAUGAAUGUGUGUGUGUGUCCUAUCUUCGAGAAAAGACUUGUGGAGUUUAAGCAGGGAAGCUGGACUAUUUUGUUCUGUUUUGUCUCCGUGGUGAGUGUUUGAGGACUGGGAGAACCCUCCAAAAAUGUGUGUGUGUGUGUGUAAGUGAGUGUGUGUUUGGUCAGUUUGAGGACUCAAUAACUCAGUUAUUACAGCAGCCGCAACAAGGAAUGAAAUGUUUCACUUACCAAAGACAAAACAGGUUUUGUUUGAGUUUUAAAAUAAGAGAAAAAGUAUCUGUUUGCAAUUUAAUGGUAAAAGGUAUUCCUGUUUUUUUAGAAUUAAACUUAGCAUUUUUUAAAUGACGUCGGCUCAGAAGUGAGCUUUGAUUGGUUGGCUCAGCUUGGGAUACCCGCUCAAACGGCAGUGAUUGGUCCAUGAGCAGGCUAUAGAGAAGGUCGGCCAUUUAUGAACAGAUGGAUUUAUGUUUUCUCUCCUAAUGAUUGAGGUCAUCUAGAGGCGACAGCUCGCUGAUCCAAGAUCUGCAUUGGUGUUCAACUGUCUUGCUGGUGUGAGACAGCAAAGGGAGACCUGGGAAAGAUGCCAAUGGCUGGAGAGAAAAAAAGUGACAUUCUCUGAAAUAUCCACACUCCUCGCUCAUUGAUUCAUUUAGCUGAACUCCCUCAAACCCCUCCCACUCCCGAUGGAGGGAGAGGACAAAUUGACGGAAGGAUAAAGGCAGACGUGGAGAAAAGCAGGCAGAAUAAAGAUGUCGAAAAGAGACAGUUACUCUCCCGGGACUCCUCUUUGAGGCGAGGGAACUUGACAACAAAUGUCUGUCAGUUUAGAGUUCGUAUCUCAAGCCAGUUUGGGCUUCUUUGAUCUGUUGAUUGUACAAAUAUGGUGAAAUGGAAAAAUAUGGCAAAAGUGUCGGGAUCUGCUUGUCUCUCUCGCCAUCUGUCUGUUGCUGCAGGAUAGUAUAAGUACAGUACAAGGUGAGAGGUGUGUUUUGGAUGUUAGAUGAUUAACAUACAAAUUCUCAGAGUGCUCCCAGCUGCUGUACCACUGUUUUGUGUCACCACGUCUGCUCACGACACUUUACGCUGCUUCUCCUUUCUUGUCUUUCUGUGUCUCACUCUCUUCCUUAACUCUUUUUCUCUGACUCCUCCUCUUUCUGUUCACCCUUCUCUCGCUACAGCAUGUCCCUCCCUUCCUCUUUCUGUGUCUCUACACCUCCCUCCUCCCCUCCUUUUUCUCCCCUUCCCUCUUGGCAGCAGUGCCAAAGUGGGCAGGCGGAGCGAGGCAAACACAGCGCAGGGCAGAGCAGAGGGCGAUCCAAAGGCUGGAGAAUUGAUUAUGUGUAUGUUUGUGUUCUGAAGUGUCCUCUGUCUGUGUGUUUGUCUCCGUUUUGGUCGUACGCAACUGCAAGUACUGUGACUCUGUUUUGGAGCUUUUCUCUUUUUGUUGUGUACAGUGUGUUUAUACCGUGGCUUGUGCGCGUUUUGUGUGUGUGUGUGUGUGUUAAAGCGCCGUGUGUGAGCAGACGUCCCUCUGUCACCCUGUGUACGGACAGACGCACUCACGCCAGUAGGAGGGGAUUGUGGGAAGGGGGUGUAGCUCACAGAGGGUGUGCUCCACUCUUCUCUUUUCCCUUCUUCCCGCCAUCACGGCCCUCUUCUCCUCCAGUCCUCCGGCCCAGCCCGCCGCUCACGUACAGGCUCCAGGACAGCAGGCUCUGACAGGGUGGUGAAUCUUUCUGUGGCUUUCCGUACUGAACAGGUGUCUCUUUGUAGACUGGCAGGAGGAAGGACAGGCCUUCUCCGUUGCUUUCUGACCUCAGAGGGUCGACCGAGCCAGAGCGCUGUUGUUGUGUUCAGGACAGUUACCUUUGUGGAUCUUUGAUGCUGAAGCAACAUGGAUGCUGUCCUUGGGGCUGAGGUAGUAGAUUGAAUAGUUGUGGGGUUGUGUAACCUCUUUUUGAGAUAACUAUACAAUCUACUGUCUUUCCCAAGGAGACAGCAGAGUCAGCCACUCACCGACUGUCAUCUCCGGAUGGGCAAUCAUGCUGUCCAAUCAAACAUAAUGUACUGUGACAAGCAUUGUUUUUUGAAGGAGCAGCUAAAUUAGGUUGCAUGUUCCCUAACAGGACGUGAACGUGUGGUGUGUUUGAUUUGGGCUCUCUCAGGGUGAGGUAGUAGGUUGUAUAGUUUGGUGGGUGGGAUUGCACCCUGCUCAGGUGAUAACUAUACAGUCUAUUGCCUUCCUUGAGGAGCUCACUGAACACUCAUGAAUGUUCAACACACUCUCAAGGCUAAGUAUCACAUUUAUUCUUAGAUUUCAGAAAAACAGGAGCAAAUAGAUAUGUGCUGCAAAAGGUUAGCGAUACAUUGCUUGAAGCUGUCAAAUGACUUACUCAAAAAUAUGUACAUCUCAAUAAAGUUAUACCUGCAUCAAA